AUUGAACGCUGGCGGCAUGCUUUACACAUGCAAGUCGGACGAGUGGCGAAAGGGUGAGUAACAUAUCGGAACGUACCGAGUAAUGGGGGAUAACUAAUCGAAAGAUUAGCUAAUACCGCAUAUUAUUCGAGCGGCCGAUAUCUGAUUAGCUGGUUGGUGGGGUAAAGGCCUACCAAGGCGACGAUCAGUAGAGGGUCUGAGAGGAUGAUCCGCCCCACUAGGACGGAGAUACGUCCCAGACCCCUACGCGAGGCAGCAGUGGGGAAUUGUGGACAAUGGGCGCAAGCCUGAUCCAGCCAUGCCGCGUGUAUGAAGAAGGCCUUCCGGUUGUAAAGCACUUUUGUAAGGGAAGCGGUACCUGAAGAAUAAGCACCGGCUAACUACGUGCCAGCAGCCGCGUUAAUAC
rnacentral:rRNA from 1 species